GAAAUAAUUUAAAUUAUCUAAGUUUCUAACUUAAAAAAUAAAUGAAUUAAUCAUUUUUAUUUCU
rnacentral:tRNA from 1 species